rnacentral:misc_RNA from 1 species
CCGAGUUACAACUCCCAAACCCAAUGUGAACGUUACCAAACUGUUGCCUCGGCGGGGUCACGCCCCGGGUGCGUAAAAGCCCCGGAACCAGGCGCCCGCCGGAGGAACCAACCAAACUCUUUCUGUAGUCCCCUCGCGGACGUAUUUCUUACAGCUCUGAGCAAAAAUUCAAAAUGAAUCA